UAUGCAACCAUCACCACCAUCAAUCUCCAGAAAUUUUACCUUCCCACACUGAAACUCUGUCCCCAUUAAACACCAACUCCCCACUCCCCUGCCCAGCCCUGGGCAUCCACCAUUCUUCCUUCUCUGUCUUUAAGUACUUGUACUUUAUAUUCAUACAGGUGGAAUCAAACCUUUAUCCUUUUGUGAGUGGAUUGCUUCACUUAGCAAAAUGUCUCAAGGUUCAUCUGUGUUAUUCCAUGUAUGAGAACUUCCUCAUUUUAAAAGGCUGAAUAGCAUUCCAUUGUCUUUCCAUUCAUUAUUCAAUGGACACGUGAGUUGCUUCCAUUCUUGGGCUAUUGUGAACAAUGCUGCUGUGAACACGUAUGUUACAAAUCUGUUCAAAUUCUUGUUUUCCUUUUGCAGUACUAGGGACUGAACCCAAGGGCACUUUUCCAGAGCUGCAGCAGCAGAGGACGGAGGCAGGCUGAUACUAAUUGGCUGUGCCAUUCUGUUUGCUUGGUUGUUAGAGCUUAGAUGUGCUGAUGGACAUUAAUACAAAGACCUGCAUCCUGGUGCCAACUCCCAUCCAUGUGCCCCUUCCUUAGAAGUCUUCAUCCUCUAACUUCCAGAUCACCACUUCCAGGAUCCUGACCAAUGAACAAAGUCUCAUAUCUCUCCACACAAGGGAAUGGCUGGGAUCUCCCCCUGGAGCUUUGCUAACUGGGGGUGCCAUACCAUUCGUAUGAGCUGAGUGACACUGGACUGCGGUGGGCGACAAGAGGUCUAGACUACCUAUUUAUGUACCUGCUUGAAUCCGGUUCUGGAUCCAAAACUGUUUAUGACUUGGUGGUCAAACUCAGCUUAUGACAGAUGGUUCUUGCCUCAGAGUUAGUUUUGGUGUUCCAUAGAAAAUUUCAUUUCUAUUGGAACCCAGCAGAAUUCUAGAAGUUACUUUUUAAAGCUUCUUAACCUGUG